UGGGGAAUUUUGGACAAUGGGCGCAAGCCUGAUCCAGCCAUGCCGCGUGUCUGAAGAAGGCCUUCGGGUUGUAAAGGACUUUUGUCAGGGAAGAAAAGGCUGUUGCUAAUAUCGACAGCUGAUGACGGUACCUGAAGAAUAAGCACCGGCUAACUACGUGCCAGCAGCCGCGGUAAUACGUAGGGUGCGAGCGUUAAUCGGAAUUACUGGGCGUAAAGCGAGCGCAGACGGUUACUUAAGCAGGAUGUGAAAUCCCCGGGCUCAACCUGGGAACUGCGUUCUGAACUGGGUGACUAGAGUGUGUCAGAGGGAGGUAGAAUUCCACGUGUAGCAGUGAAAUGCGUAGAGGUGUGGAGGAAUACCGAUGGCGAAGGCAGCCUCCUGGGAUAACACUGACGUUCAUGCUCGAAAGCGUGGGUAGCAAACAGGAUUAGAUACCCUGGUAGUCCACGCCCUAAACGAUGUCAAUUAGCUGUUGGGCAACUUGAUUGCUUAGUAGCGUAGCUAACGCGUGAAAUUGACCGCCUGGGGGAGUACGGUCGCAAGAUUA
rnacentral:rRNA from 1 species